rnacentral:rRNA from 1 species
CCUACGGGCGGCAGCAGUGGGGAAUAUUGGACAAUGGGGGGAACCCUGAUCCAGCCAUGCCGCGUGUGUGAAGAAGGCCCUCGGGUUGUAAAGCACUUUCAGUGAGGAAGAACGCCUGGUGGUUAAUACCCAUCAGGAAAGACAUCACUCACAGAAGAAGCACCGGCUAACUCCGUGCCAGCAGCCGCGGUAAUACGGAGGGUGCGAGCGUUAAUCGGAAUUACUGGGCGUAAAGCGCGCGUAGGUGGCUUGAUAAGCCGGUUGUGAAAGCCCCGGGCUCAACCUGGGAACGGCAUCCGGAACUGUCAAGCUAGAGUGCAGGAGAGGAAGGUAGAAUUCCCGGUGUAGCGGUGAAAUGCGUAGAGAUCGGGAGGAAUACCAGUGGCGAAGGCGGCCUUCUGGACUGACACUGACACUGAGGUGCGAAAGCGUGGGUAGCAAACAGGAUUAGAUACCCCUGUAGUC